GAAACCGCGAAUGGCUCAUUAAAUCAGCUACAAUUUAUUAGAUCGUACACUGUUACUUGGAUAACUGUGGGAAUUCUAGAGCUAAUACAUGCCGAGAGUCUCUGCCUUUCGGGGCAGAGCGCAAUUAUUAGACCAAAACUAACCGAUCCUCUCGGGGGUCGAAACUUUGGUGACUCUGGAUAAUCUUCAGUCGAUCGCAUGGCCUUGUGCCGGCGACGUAUCUUUCAAGUGGCUGACCUAUCAACUUUCGAUGGUACGUUAUAUGCCUACCAUGGUGAUAACGGGUAACGGGGAAUCAGGGUUCGAUUCCGGAGAGGGAGCCUGAGAAAUGGCUACCACAUCCAAGGAUGGCAGCAGGCGCGCAAAUUACCCACUCCCAGUUCGGGGAGGUAGUGACGAAAAAUAACAAUGCGGGACUCUAAGAGGCCCCGUAAUUGGAAUGAGUACACCUUAAA
rnacentral:rRNA from 1 species